rnacentral:rRNA from 1 species
GUAGUCCACGCCCUAAACGAUGUCGACUGGUUGUUGGGGGUUUGACACUCUCAGUAACGAAGCUAACGCGUGAAGUCGACCGCCUGGGGAGUACGGCCGCAAGGUUAAAACUCAAAGGAAUUGACGGGGACCCGCACAAGCGGAGGAUUAUGUGGAUUAAUUCGAUGCAACGCGAAAAACCUUACCUACCCUUGACAUGUCCGGAAGGCUGCUGAAAGGCGGCUGUGCCCGAAAGGGAACUGGAACACAGGUGCUGCAUGGCUGUCGUCAGCUCGUGUCGUGAGAUGUUGGGUUAAGUCCCGCAACGAGCGCAACCCUUGUCAUUAGUUGCUACAUUCAGUUGGGCACUCUAAUGAGACUGCCGGUGACAAACCGGA